UAGCCAAUAUAGAGCACAUCAUUAGUUUUCAUGGAGUGUUCGAUGAUUCAUUAGAUGCAUAUAACACCCACCGCCCAUCACAUCACGGGCCCUCCCUCAUGCUACUACUUUCUGAGUGAGAUAAGCCAGACCAUCCAUUUUGGGUGAAGAUGCGGACAAGAUGCUGGAAGACUGAUGUGUGGAAGAGGGUAUGAAAGAGUUGUCGGGGAGCUUGGGAGAGUGAGUGAACCAGGGAAAUGGAUGACAGUUUUACAGCACGACUAAUCGCUCACGUGAAGGCAGUCAAUAGUAGACUGAAGAGUCGGUACUUUCCCUAUUUCGUCAUUUUUGGUGAUACCUUAUGAAGUAAUUGUUUAAUAAGUGUUUGUUAAAGUGUCUAUGAUUCAGAGGAGAAGGGGUCACUACCUAGUUCUCUGGAAACUAGAAGGGCAGCGUUGGGAAGGCGGAAAAGGGAAGCGAUAGAGGAGGUGAAGAGUCCUGGGGAAAAGCAGCCAGUCCCCUGUGCGAGUGACUCCCGUCACGGCCACCUAAGCCGUCAGAGCGAACGAGGUGGAGACUUGGGGAAAAGCCAUGCAAGAGCGCUGAGAAGGCGACCAGCCUCCUUCACUGGGGGAUUCCACACCUCGACAGGAGCGGGUGAUGUCAGUGUCUUUCUCCGGCGACCCAGUGGUCACAUACCCCAUGCGGGCAGGAUGCAGAGGAGCAGCAGGAAACCUCUGAAGAGAACGUUCAAACGCAACUAAGAUAAAAGCAAGAGAAAGCAGCGUUUGCGUAACAGGGAAAAGACUAAGCUGUCCCAAAAAUGAAACCAAAGAGUAUGCAUGUACAUGCGGAGGCUUAAGUAACAGCGAAGUCCAUGUCCUUCUCAUGUUACAGGAAGGUGUGCAACCCUGCCUGGCAGGAAAGCCACCGCAGGAUCACCUCCCUUCCACGUGUUAUUGCUCCGCUAUUACCUGAGGUGACCGCUCCAUCGUCGUGGCCAGAGUUGGACUGUGGGCACACUCAGUCUUCCGACCUAUGCAAAAGGAAGACAGGAACUCGAGGCAAGUGGCUUAUCUUUUAAGAGAGAAGUGACCCAGAAAUAACACAGUACUUCAUCUUGCAUCCCAUCAGCUAAAAGGUAGCCACAUAAUCAUAUCUAGUUGUGGAAAGAGGAUAAGGAUGUGGCCUCUGGCCAAGUAGCCAUGGAUUCAGUGUCAUUGGUUUCUACAGAAGACAGAAAAUACAGACUUUAGAGAAAAACUAGGAGUUUUGCCACAUAAAUCAAAUAUGGUGCUCAUAACCAACCCGAGACAAGUGAAACGCCAUCAAAUGCUGGUUUAAGACAACUAAUGAACUAAUGUACGUGCAGUGCAAAAAGCAAGAUCUUUGCGGGUUGACAGUACUACAUCAGUAUUCUCAUUCUCCAGUUCAUGUAUGUGUGCUUGUUGAGAUUUUACUGAUUCUUGCCAUUCUGACGUGGGACCAGAGCUCCAUCAGACCACCAAGCACAGAGGCUCCGCGGAGAGGCCAGGAUAGGAUUGUUCUUAUAGCCUGUUUUUCCUUUAACAGGAAGAGGACAGCUCAUCCACAGAGAGAGAAAGAGCACAAGCAGCGGGAGCAGCAGGCAGA